rnacentral:rRNA from 1 species
UACGGGGGGGCAAGCGUUGUUCGGAAUUACUGGGCGUAAAGGGCUCGUAGGCGGCCAACUAAGUCAGACGUGAAAUCCCUCGGCUUAACCGGGGAACUGCGUCUGAUACUGGAUGGCUUGAGGUUGGGAGAGGGAUGCGGAAUUCCAGGUGUAGCGGUGAAAUGCGGUAGAUAUCUGGAGGAACACCGGUGGCGAAGGCGGCAUCCUGGACCAAUUCUGACGCUGAGGAGCGAAAGCCAGGGGAGCAAACGGG